AAGAUGAGGAGGCGCCCAAUAAUGGUAAUCAAAUUCGAUCGCUUUAUUGAGUUUUUGUUGUUUUUCUUCUUGCUUCCUCUGUUCGCGUCCAAUGCGCAGGCAAAUUUAGUCAGCUGGCAGGGGAAUGACUGUAAUUGAGAAGUGUGGGCCGUGUUAUUCAUAAACGAGAGCAAUAGCUCGAGAUCUAAGCAGAAUAAAUAACUAUUUUUUAUUUGAAAUUUGAGAUUU
rnacentral:misc_RNA from 1 species